rfam:Thermovenabulum gondwanense strain R270 ATZ99_contig000026, whole genome shotgun sequence.
AAGGUAUCCCAUCCUGAAAAGGGAGUAAGGCACCUGGGAGACGACCAGGUAGAUAGGCCGGGGGUGUAAGGGCUGUAAGGCCUUGAGCCGACCGGUACUAAUGAGCCGAGGGCUUGACCAA